rnacentral:tRNA from 10 species
GACUUAAAAAAUCCGUCGACUUUAAAAAUCGUGAGG